CGUAGGGAAGGGAAUCAGGCUCGGGAACGAGAGCGGGGAUAUUACCGUCAUGGUACACAAUCUCCCCCUCGCCACGAAGAGCGCCUCUUCCGAAAUAUUAAGUUGGAUGCCCCUACAUUUGAUGGUUGUCUAGAUCCUAGUGCGUUCAAUCAAUGGGUUAGAGAUAUGGAUCGCUUCUUUGCAUGGUAUGGGGUCCCGGAAGACCGGAGGGUACAAUUUGCUAGUUUGAAGUUAACUGGCACUGCUCAGCUCUUUUGGGAGAGUGUUGAGGACCUCCUUGAAAGGCGUCAUGCUCCCCCUGUUGGGAGCUGGGAUGAAAUGAAGCGCCGCCUUCAAGAAAAAUAUUUACCCCAAUCUUAUAGGGGUAACUUGCUGGAUCAAUGGAACGUACUUACACAAGGCAAUCGACCUGUGACUGAAUAUGUUGCUCAGUUUGAUGAGUUUCGAAUGAAAUGUCAGGUUGUUGAGGAUGAAGUUAUGACUUUGAGUAGGUUUAGGCAAGGUUUAAGAGACGAACUUAGGCGCGAGCUUGUCCUUAGGGGUGUCACCACUCUCGACCACGCCUACUCUUUCGUUCGGGAUUAUGAAUUAGUGACUAGGACACCGUAUAGAAAUCGUAGUGACUCCCGCACUACAACCUCAUCUGCAUCCACGCCAUCCCCUAAGUCUAUUCUAGGUCCUCCUCCCUCUCAUACUAUCCCUGCAUCGGAUAGCAAAGGUAGAGGUUCUGAGGUUUCAAGGACAUCCUCCCGUUUGCAAUGCUUCAACUGUAAGGGUUUUGGUCACAUUGCUUCUAAGUGCCCUAGCCGAGCCCUAGUUCUGGACGAACGUGAGGAUAUAGUCGUCGAACCACUAGAGGAUCAGGUUUAUGAGCCUAAGUUAGAAGAGUUUGAAGACUUGGAGGACAGUGAGGAUACCUUCUUAGGUUGUAUUCAGGCUAGUCCCAUUAUCCCACAUACACCCAGAGUCGGUGUCGUCCGUUGCACCCUCACCCAGCCUAAGGAUGCCG
rnacentral:lncRNA from 1 species